rnacentral:rRNA from 1 species
ACGUAGGAGACGAGCGUUAUCCGGAUUUACUGGGCGUAAAGCGCGUGUAGGAGGCGCUACAAGUUGGAUGUGAAAGCUCCCGGCUUAACUGGGAGAGGUCGUUCAAGACUGUAGAGCUAGAGUGAGGCAGAGGUAGAUGGAACUCCGGGAGUAGUGGUGAAAUGCGUAGAAAUCAGGAGGAAUACCAGUGGCGAAGGCGGCUUUCUGGACUGACCCUGACGCUGAGGUGCGAAAGCGUGGGUAGCAAACAGGAUUAGAUACCCGUGUA